CAAUCUAAUCCCUUGCAUCUAGUCAUCAUCUCCCCUGUAUAAUAAUAAGAGGUUUGAUUUAUGUCAUAUGUGAAUGACCUAGAUGUUUUCACUACUUUUUUCAGUUUAUACCUGAAUUUUGCAAUAAGGAGCUCAUGACCUGAGCCACAGUCAGCUCUAUGUCUUGUUUUUGUGGACUGUAGAGUUUCUCCAUAUUUGACUGCAAAGAAUAUAAUCAAUCUGAUGUUGAUAUUGAUCAUCUGUUGAUGUCCAUGUGCAAAAAAUAUAGUCAGUCUGAUUUCGGUAUUGACAAUCUGG